AAUCCCGUGAACCAUCGAGUUUUUGAACGCAAGUUGCGCCCGAAGCCUUCGGGCCGAGGGCACGCCUGCCUGGGCGUCACGCAUCGCGUCGCCCCCUUCACCCCGUCCUCGUAGGCGGGGGGGCGGAGAUUGGCCUCCCGUGCGCUCCAGGCGUGCGGCCGGCCC
rnacentral:rRNA from 2 species